UUGGGGUGUUGUCGAGCAGCUGUGUUGGACUUUAUUUAUUAAACAGCAGCAUCGCGUUUUUUUCCUUUUUUGCGCCUCCUAAAAUCCUCACAGCACUUGAGACAGCUGUUCCAUAUACGUGCCUCGGCAGAAAAUAAAAGGUAGAAAAGAAGAUACAAUAUUCUUCCUUCAAGACAGCGCAGGGUCUACACUUGUUCAUUUGGGGGCUUUUCUGCAUCCCCCCGCUCGCAGCCACCAGCCAGCGCUCCGGCACGGCCAGGCUGCUCACCCAGCCGCUUGUGAGAGCCACUGCGGUGCGCAGAUUUAAAAGCUGCUUUUGAAAACAGGUCCAGCAAGGCUGACCUGGGAUCUCCUCUGUAGGGCCAGGCAAAGCUGUUGCAAGCUACAGGCACGAGCAGUAGGCGGAAUAGCCUACAAAGGCAAUUGAAUUCAUCAGGGUUUCUGUGCAGGAGGACGGCACUGGGGCACGAAGACCAUCUGUCUCUGGCAGGCCAAUAGAAAAUAUUUUAAAGUUUAUCCUGGAAGAUGAGCUUCAUCAAACAGAUGCAUAUUCUGUAGAAAAGAGAAUGCCUUUUGCUAGACAUCUGAACGAAAUCCAGAGGAUCAUCUCUACACAAUGACUCUCAGAUGCACAGGAAAAUCCUCCACCUCUUCUUUUAGCACCUGUUAAAAGAUUUGGACUUCUGGGAUGUUCUUGACAUCAACCUGCAAAAUGGCCACAACUUGGAGGGACACCUGCCCUUUAGCCACCAGCCAUUCCUGUUAAACCAGUGCAGCAGCAACGGGGAGCUUUAGCUAAGAAGACACUGACAGCACUGAGAAUAGUGGAAGUCCUGUAACCAACAUCACACCCUCUGUCACCUGCAAGAAAUGAAAAAUUUAAGAAGGCUUUUCCUUUAAAACAAAUGCUCAUGAAUGUCACUGCUGCACCUUUGUGAUUUUAAAUUCAAGUUGUAAACAGUCACAGAAUAAAGUUGUGUGUUUUACACAGUUGCCCCCAUUUUCAGCUUGUGUUUGAAUUUCAUCAGACUAUUCAGA